rnacentral:rRNA from 1 species
AACGAACGCUGGCGGCGCGCCUAAUACAUGCAAGUCGAGCGAGAAGACGUAGCAAUACGUUUGUAAAGCGGCGAACGGGUGAGGAAUACAUGGGUAACCUACCCUCGAGUGGGGAAUAACUAGCCGAAAGGUUAGCUAAUACCGCGUACGCUCCUUGGACUUCGGUUCAGGGAGGAAAGCGAUACCGUGGGUAUCGCGCUCUUGGAUGGGCUCAUGUCCUAUCAGCUUGUUGGUGAGGAACGGCUCACCAAGGCUUCGACGGGUAGCUGGUCUGAGAGGACAAUCAGCCACACUGGCACUGCGACACGGGCCAGACUCCUACGGGAGGCAGCAGUAAGGAAUAUUGCGCAAUGGGCGAAAGCCUGACGCAGCGACGCCGCGUGGGGGAUGAAGGUCUUCGGAUUGUAAACCCC